GCUGGGCAUGGCGGCACAUGCCUGUAGUCCCAGCUACUUAGGAGGCUGAGGUGGGAGGAUUGCUUGAGCCUGGGAGGUCGAGGCUGCAGUGAGCUGUGAUUGUGCCACUGCACUCCAGCCUGGGCGACAGAGUGGGACCCCAUCUCAA
ensembl:misc_RNA Metazoa_SRP Metazoan signal recognition particle RNA